rnacentral:lncRNA from 1 species
AAGGUCCCAAGGGUUCGGUUGUUUGCCGAUUCAAGUGGUACGUGAGUUGGGUUUAGAACGUCGUGAGACAGUUCGGUUCCUAUCUACCGUUGGUGUUUAAGGGAGAACUGCGAGGAGCCAGCCAAACUGCGGUCCACUUUGUACGUUUGCUGAGCAGACCACUCAGGCAUUUUAGAAAAGGGAAGGGAACUUCUCACCCCGAGGGAGGCGGGAAGCGGUAGCUUCUAGAAUGGAAGCUUCUCCUUUACUUUUUUAGAGCGUAUCGCUAUUUUGAAAUUAAAAAAAGGUUUAUGGAUGAAGUAAUCGGAAUGACAAGUGGUCCAUUUGAAGGUCAAUUUGGGUUGAACCAUUGCAACAGUCCUUGAUUAUAUCACUAAUCUAAGCUGUCAAACUUACUAACCUAACUUGUCAAACUUUGGGCUAGUCCUAUUAAUUUAAGCUAAUUUUAAUAUCUUUAGUCAGAGCUCUAGUAUGCUUUUUUCUGAUGAGGAUUAGUAUAAUCUACCAUUAACAUUUUUUCCUCUACUAAUCAUUCACUAUCCUGCCGGUAUUUUUCUUGGACAGCAAACGGUUGAAGCUUUACUUGAAUCAGGAUACUCUCUUGUCAAAGAACAAAAGUUGAUUAUGGAUAGCAAACUUUCAAAAGAAUACAUGAAGAACAUGGAUGAAUAGUACGUGACUAUAUGCUUUAUAAAGGCUUGAGGUUAUUUUGUGUACAUCAUUGACUGAACAAACCGUAAGACAUUAUCCGUAAAGGAAUCGCGAAAGGUGAAUUUAAGUUUAUUUUUUCUAUUCUUUUUAUUUCUUUUUUGCAAAAGAGCUGAAUACUUUCCUCUCUAUAGUACUGACUCGUAAUACUGAGGUCCCAAAAUCAGGACACUCCAGAAAUUCUUUUUUGAGAAAAAAGGAUGAGAACUCCCUCUUAUUGUUUAAGUAAAUGAUUUGAAGUCGUUGGCUGAAAGGAGCCUUGGAGCAACGGUCAAGUUGUUUUCGUGUGACCUAUAGGUCACGGGUUCGAGCCGUAGAAUUAGUUACUGAUACUUGCAUCAGGGUAGGCUGCCUACAUCACACGCCCUUGAGGUUCGGCCUUUCCCCGGACCCUGCAUAACGCGAGAUGCUUUAUAUACCGAGCUGCCCAUCUAAAGUCAUUGGCGUCUGCUUUUAUGAUGGCCCGUGGUAUUCUAAAUAGUGUGGCAAUAAAGUAGGUACAUAUUCAUCUCUCAAGGGCUAAAGUCCCCUUCUAAUUUAAUGUGAGUUAAGGUAGUUUGCAGAUGGACCAUUUCCUUUCCUCACAGCCCCACCAAUUUAAUGAGUAUAGGAUGAUCUUGACUAACUGCACUUGGUACUUUUCUGAUGGAAGCCUGCUUUCAUUGGGCUCACGUUUUUCUUCCUUUCUACUUCAGUUUAUCUUUUAUGUCUUUGUAUUUGUAAUGCAAAUUAACAAAGCGAUUAUCUGCUGAAUCACCAAUGCCUAAAUUUGACUUUGCUAUUGGUAGGGAUUUUUUGGUUUCCAC